CGAUUGCAUAUAACCAUUACCGUUGAUUAUAUCAACUCUACAACGAUCAACGGCCCGCGAUCAACAUUGGGCGGAUUCUCCCCCGAGCCACACUUCGAGCCUACCUUCUACACACAUUUCGGCCUCAAUCCACACUCGGAAUCACCACCGCCUCCUUCACCGCCAUGACCGAUCGCCAAGAAUCCAGCCCCGCCACCUCCUCCCGCCCUCCUCCGCCCUCGGCGGAGGUCCCGAGCGGCGAGCCCCACGCUCAGGAGUUCUCCGGCCACCGGAUCAAGUACCCGAACCGGCCCGACGCGGCGAACCCCGACCCGGUCACGCUGCGGGAGCAGUGGCGGUUCGCGAUCCGGCAGUACAGCCGGUGGUACUCCCACGCCUGGGGCACGGCGAUCCUCGCCGGAGCCGCGUUCUUCGCCCUGGGCUGGUUCAUCAAGGGCGGCAAUCCGCUGCCGUCAAUCGGGGACGAUUCGCAUGCGCCUUCGACGCACCCGAGUGAUGCCGACUCGCCGAAGAAGGACGCGUCGGAGAAAGCGAGCGUGUAGUCGCGUUGCGAUUGCCGUUGUAGCUUUUCCAUUGCGACCUGCGACAUCUGCACCAGGCCUGCUGAUCUAACAUUAGUCUUAGGCGAUAAGACUUUGCACCCAGAAGAGACGUCGCAGCUCUUUUUUGAGGCACUGGAUUGCGCUAGGAGGAUCUCUGUUCCAUGGUUCUGACGAAACAGAAGAAUGUAUAUGGUAAUCUUAUGUGCAGUGUUUCUUAGCAAGUUGUCUUUUGUGAAAUGAAGGUCCAUUUCGAUCAACAGCACUCUAAUGUAAAUCUAGAGCCCCCAUAAAUCUCUAACAAAAAUUUUAAUGUAAAUGAAUGGCGCUUCCCCCCUUAAGUAUAAAACCAUGCCCAGUUUUGUUUUAAUUGAAUACUGUCAAUCCGGUUCGGUUACUACACCAGCCACUGUAGCAGUAUAAACUGUAUUGUUACUCCUGGAAGGAGGCCUUCUUCACCUUCCACCUAAGUUCGUUCAUUCAUGAGAUUUGAAAAGCAGAAUUACAGUCCCUUGUUUCUUUU